ACGUCAGCCAACUUCAGGAUCAUAUAUUUUAGACAUUUAACUUUACCAUAACUAAAUGCAGAUCAAUGAGCGAAUUAAACAUACACUUGUACGCACAUAUAUAUUUAUAUAUAUACAUAUAAAUAUAUAUAAUUUUAAGCCUACUCACGUCAUGAGAACAAAUAAUACUUGCAUACAACCGAGUGAAAGUUAGUCCAUGGAUUUGAAAAUAAAACGCCAAUGGAAUGAGAACGAGAGUCAGGCGGGUAAUUUUUUUUUUUUUUUAUUUAUUUCAAUCUUUUAUUUCGCCUACCGAACCUGUUUAUCAACGAAAAUGUGAAGAUAUAAAUAAAAUUAAUUUAUGAUAAAAUGAAAGUCGCAAGGUCUGUAGAUAAUUUAUAUACACGUACAUAUAAAGAUUUUUUAUCCCGUUUUAUUUUUCAUUAAUAUGAUAUAUAUAAAAUUUAAUUUUUCAGAUAUAAUGUAGCGUGAUUCAUAUUUUAGCAAGAGUAUGAAAAAAAAAUAAUAAUAAUAAAGUAAAGUAUAACAAAGACCAUGAACUUGAAAUAUAAAGUUGAUCAUAGCACACACGCAAAUACCACAUCAGCUCCGGAAACCAGUAUAUGACUACAUGGGAGACUGAAAUGAUACGGUGUACAUAUACAAUAUAUAUGUAUAUAUUUAUUUAUAAGUAAGUAUGUAUGUGUUGCUCACAUAUGGUCGGAGAUGGAAUGAAAGAGUACAUAUGCACUAGUACUAUACGAUGAGUCGUGAUUUAAGUACUCGUGCACUUAUACCCAGGCACGCAGCCAAUUAUAAUUAUUGUGCUGUAACAACUACCUGUGUCAUACAUAUAAAUACAUCUAUUGUUUAAUAAUUAUUGUCACACGCAUUUAGAUUUUUUUUAUUUCAUAACUAUUUUUUUAUUUUACCACAAACCUGGGAAAUUCAAAAUUAGAUACCGGAGUUCAAGCGGUGACUAAUUCCGAUGACGAAACCGAGCCGUUGUAAAAAUUUAUACGGAAGUUCUGAACUUUUGAAUGAUUCAAUGAAUAAAUAAAUAUCGGAAAUCAAGACUUGAGAUUAUGCUGCAUAAUAAUAACAAAAUGGUGAACUUGAAUUUCAUUAAUGUACAGUACUGGUACAUUGCAUUUCCUUAUGCCUGGUGAAUCGACGAGAGUACGAUCUAAAAAUACAGUCUGGCCGUUAUACAAUCUAUUGAAGCACCAGGGGGUCGAGUUCCCGCCGAUCUGGGACAGAUGGAGAGGGCAAGUAAACCCGCGUGGUUAUUCGAUAUUCAUAUUCACUCUCACAUAUGAUAUGACAAUCAGACUAGUCGCAUAUGACAGUUUAAUAUAACGGUAUUGAGUCCCAUACUAUUAAUAACAUUCAAUACUCUGUAUGAAAUAAAAGUCAUUAUUAUUUAUAAACAUAAGUACUGACUUACUGCAUACCAUUGGAUAUAAAUAGUAUAAUUAUAUUAAUAGUAAGGCGGGUAUAUUUAAUAAAAUGUUUUUUUUUUUCAUCACAAACCUGUAUCGUGGGUCCAGGAAUCUCUGACAGUUCCAAGCGAGCUGGGCUGCGACCAGCAUCAAGGUUGAUGAUACAAUCCCCAUAUUACCCUUUUAUUAAUUUAACUUUUUUUACAUCCGCAGUCUCAAGUUUAAAUCCGACGAAUUCUUGACUGAAGAUCUUGUUUUUUUUUUACUUUUAUUUUUCAAUACACAAGAGAUUGUAAUUCAAGAUUAACGUAUCCGCUUUCACUUUUCUCACGUUUUUUUCUCUUUGAAGAUGCUAAGGAGUAAGUAAACCAGUAAUUGAAUUUAAAUUUUAUUAUCAUCACUUACAU